AAGUUCCAAGCUAUAACAGAAGUCGAAAAAGACAUACAAUCAAAUGCAGCGAUAUUUCCCGUUUCCGUCUUCGUCAUUAUUACAGUGAUUGGUUUAUCAUUUACAAAGCAUAAGACAAAUCCAAACUCCGUACAGCGUCAAAUUCUCCGGGACUACUUUCCCCUACAAAUAAUGACACUGCCACAGGCUUUCCAAACUUAUGCAGAAAACCGCAAGUUACUAUACGCGUGUGAUUCGGUUUUUUAAAAUACCAGAUAGGGUGGUCACGUAGGGUUUAUUUAUUCCAGAAUUAGUAGAAAUAAAUUCUUUUAAAAUUUGUGUAGCAUUUAGACUGAUUAAAAAUUGAAACUAUUGGCCUUGACAUUGGACUAUAAUUUUGAGCGGAGCGUCAUCGACGUAGUGAUGAUGAUGCCGAGGCGUCUGUGGAAACAGGAGGGAGAUUUUAUCGUAUCAGGUCACACCUGCGUUUUGCUGUCAUAUUUCAGAAGGAAUCGAGUCAAGAAAGACGGAUACACCAGGGAUUUCUUUACAGAUGGAUAGCGAGAACAUUCAACAUUCAAACAACCAGGAAUUGCAUCAUCGCAAUGGCAAACCAUGAUUUUGAGUCCACACCAGCUUCCGCAAUUUGACAAUGUAGAUAAUUUAUGGAAAGCAUCCAUGGGUAACCAACGAUGAGGAAUUACAAGAUGUGAAGGAUUUCCACCAGUUUGAAUUAAACGAAUUGGAAUGAGUUCCUGACAUAUCAAAAAAUUGCCAUUUUUUCCCUGUUUCCAAAUAUGUGCAAGAAAUAUACAGGGAUUGAAAGCUGAGAAAGAGACAAAAAUUCCUUUCCAAUAUUACAUAUUAUAUGACAGUAAGGCUAUCAAUAGUGUA